rnacentral:tRNA from 1 species
UAGAAAGUGGUGUAGUGGAAGCACCUAGAGUUUUGAAUUCUUGGACAGAGGUUCAAACCCUCUCUUUCUAU